rnacentral:rRNA from 1 species
GAUGAACGCUGGCGGCGUGCCUAAUACAUGCAAGUCGAGCGAACGGACGAGAAGCUUGCUUCUCUGAUGUUAGCGGCGGACGGGUGAGUAACACGUGGAUAACCUACCUAUAAGACUGGGGUAACUUCGGGAAACCGGAGCUAAUACCGGAUGAUAUUUUGAACCGCAUGGUUCAAAAGUGAAAGACGGUCUUGCUGUCACUUAUAGAUGGAUCCGCGCUGCAUUAGCUAGUUGGUAAGGUAACGGCUUACCAAGGCAACGAUGCAUAGCCGACCUGAGAGGGUGAUCGGCCACACUGGAACUGAGACACGGUCCAGACUCCUACGGGAGGCAGCAGUAGGGAAUCUUCCGCAAUGGGCGAAAGCCUGACGGAGCAACGCCGCGUGAGUGAUGAAGGUCUUCGGAUCGUAAAACUCUGUUAUUAGGGAAGAACAUAUGUGUAAGUAACUGUGCACAUCUUGGCGGUACCUAAUCAGAAAGCCACGGCUAACUACGUG